UACGUAGACCUCGAGCGUUAUCCGGAUUUACUGGGCGUAAAGCGUGCGUAGGUGUCUUUGUAAGUCUCCGGUGAAAUCUCCGGGCUUAACUCGGAAACUGUCGGAGAAACUACAAAGAUUGAGUAUGACAGAGGCAGAUGGAAUGGUUGGUGUAGCGGUAAAAUGCGUUGAUAUCAACCAGAACACCAGUGGCGAAGGCGAUCUGCUGGGUCAUUACUGACACUGAGGUACGAAAGCGUGGGGAUCAAACGGG
rnacentral:rRNA from 1 species